CUGAUACUCCAAGAAGAUUCAUAUCCCGUGCAAUAGGUAUUGCACGGUGUGCAAUAGGUAUUGCAUACCUCAAAUCCCUGCCAUCUAUUUAAUCUAAUGGCUUAAGUCUUUGACACCUCACCAAUCCACGCUGGCAAUCCGUGUGCUCAGCUCUUUACCAAUUCAAUUUGCUCUCUCCUCAUUGCUUCCUGCCUAAGCUUCUCAUCAGAUCCAAAAAAAUUCAAAAUAUUUCUCUCUUCCACCAAACCUUUGUCUAUGGCUGAAUCUCCAUGGCUAUAGCUAGCAGCCACCAAAUCCCUCACCACCACUGGUGAUGCUUGCCGCUAUGGCUUUCUCCUCAUCUCACUCUCUCUCUCUCUCUCUCAUCUGGGUUUCUCUGUUUUCUCCUUCUCUCAAGCCUAGCCGUGGCCGAGCUGCUGCUUCCACUCACACCUAUCGCCGUUGGAGGUGCCUUUCAUCGGCGUCACAACUACUGGUGGCCGCGGGUCCAGCUCUCUUAUUCUUUAUUUUCUUUCUCUUUUAUUUUUUUUUUUCAAUUUUUAUUUGCCUUUUAGACAAUACCGAAACCCCUUUGACACUCAUUUUGUUUCAUUUUAUUAUUAUUAGUUUGAUGAAUAACAUUUUGUUUCAGUUUUGAUUAGCUUUAUGAAUGGGUUUUCUUGUUUGGAUUUCUGGUAUUAGCAAUAACUGUUAUUAUUGGCAUUUUUAAAGCUGGUUUUUGGGUGGGCAUUGAAGAUGUUUGUUGAAAUGCUUCAUAGAGUUUUAGUUUAUCUCUCUGUAUUCUGCACUUUUUUUUUUGGAUUUUUAUGCUAAAACUGUGAUGCUAUGUGUAUGGAAAUUGGAUUUUUUUCUUAUUAGCUUGAUUAAUGGGUUUUCUUGUUGAGUGUAAAGCUUGAUGGUUUUGCUUGAGUUUGAAAAUUGGGGCUUUGCAAUAUGGCCGAAUCUGUUGUGAUUGAAUGAAAAUGGGUUUCCAAUAUCGUCACUACAGGUACAGUGGUCUUUUUGGUGAUGCACUCAGCAAUAUUUUCAAUAAUACCUAAAGUAUUCUUUCUUUUUUAUUUAUUUUGAUUUAUUUUUUAAAUUCUCAGAGUAGCACUAUUUUCUCUCAAUAAAUUGUCAAAGUUGUUAAUUUUAUCCUUAGUGCUUUUGAACUGGUUGUUUUCCUUGUAUCUGCACCAGGAUGAUCUAGUUGUAAAAUGAUGUGUUCUGUUAUAUAUAUAUAUAUAUAUAUAUAUAUAUAUAAUGAAAUUAUAUGUUUUUGAACGUGAAGCUCAGGCCAACACUAUAUGACUUCUUUUGUCCACUAUCACUUCAAGCUUGGUUAUGUUAUUUUUCAUAUAAAAGUUAACAUUACAGUUGAUGGAUGAGUUAGCAUAUUUGUUGAUGCUGGUUAGUUGUCUGAAUUUGUCAUGAGGCACUGCUUGCUGCUUAUGUGUAUCUGAACAGGAAAUUUAGAUUAUUAGUUUUUAUAAAUUGUUAUUUUUUGUUACUUAUUAAAAAAAAAAUUGUUACUUUUUGUUGUUUUGCUCCUCUCUCUUAUCAAACGUUUUGUUGCUGAGGUAUGCGACGUUAUUGCUGCAGUUUGCUCAGAGACAUCUUCAACAAAUCUAAUGACACUAUCUUCUAAAGUAAGUAAUAACAGUCGAAAGCCGUCCAUGGAUGUGGCUGUGAGCGUCCUUGUCAAACUUGUCAUUGACAUAGAAUGUACAACUUCGAAUAUUUAUAGACUGAAUUUUGCAAGCUUAGCUAUAAUUAUAUCUGUAGGGCCUAUUGUAAAUUGCAAGCUUCAAAUGGAAUGUACACAUAGUCAAGAAGCAAGAGACAGUGGACACACCAAGUGUGGAACUAAAUGAGUGCAUGCGAUUUUUUAUUACAAUUGAGCAAGGUCACAAUGCUUAAGAUUUUUGAAGCAUUUGAUCUUGAAGUAUGCAAGACUCUUUUUUUGGUUAUUAUGUGCGAAUUAGGUAAUAUGAUGGUGGAAAAAAAAUUGUCUAUGUAUCGUGUUAUUAUGGCCUUGUAAUUGAAGAAUAUAAUUUAAUACAAUUUAGUUUAUUUUUUGGAUCAA